AGGAAAUUUAAGAGGGGUGUGAAAGUUACUAAAAACGGAAAGGGGAGAUGAGGUUGGAGUAUAUGUGUCGGAGGAGAGAGACGAUGGGGUUACUAAAAAUGGAAAGGUUGUUCUGUUUUUAAGUUUUUUAAUGCUUGGGGAGGUGGAGGAGAAGGAGGCCGGUGGUGGUGCGAGCCAAGAGUUGCUGUUCUCUGAUUUCUGUCACAGCAAGGAGUCGAGGCC
rnacentral:misc_RNA from 1 species